rnacentral:rRNA from 1 species
AUACGUAGGGGGCAAGCGUUAUCCGGAUUUACUGGGUGUAAAGGGCGUGUAGGCGGAGAUGCAAGUCAGGAGUGAAAUCUAGGGGCUCAACCCCUAAACUGCUUUUGAAACUGUAUCCCUUGAGUAUCGGAGAGGCAGGCGGAAUUCCUAGUGUAGGGGUGAAAUGCGUAGAUAUUAGGAGGAACACCAGUGGCGAAGGCGGCCUGCUGGACGACAACUGACGCUGAGGCGCGAAAGUGUGGGGAGCAAACAGGAUGAGAUACCCUGGUAGUCCACACUGUAAACGAUGAAUGCUAGGUGUAAGAGGUAUCGACCCCUUUGUGCCGGAGUUAACACAAUAAGCAUUCCGCCUGGGGAGUACGGCCGCAAGGUUGAAACUCAAAGGAAUUGACGGGG